rnacentral:rRNA from 1 species
CCCAGACAGCCAGGAUGUUGGCUUAGAAGCAGCCAUCAUUUAAAGAAAGCGUAAUAGCUCACUGGUCGAGUCGGCCUGCGCGGAAGAUGUAACGGGGCUAAACCAUGCACCGAAGCUGCGGCAGCGACGCUGAUGCGUUGUUGGGUAGGGGAGCGUUCUGUAAGCCUGCGAAGGUGUCCCGUGAGGGAUGCUGGAGGUAUCAGAAGUGCGAAUGCUGACAUAAGUAACGAUAAAGCGGGUGAAAAGCCCGCUCGCCGGAAGACCAAGGGUUCCUGUCCAACGUUAAUCGGGGCAGGGUGAGUCGACCCCUAAGGCGAGGCCGAAAGGCGUAGUCGAUGGGAAACGGGUUAAUAUUCCCGUACUUGGUGUUACUGCGAAGGGGGGACGGAGAAGGCUAUGUUGGCCGGGCGACGGUUGUCCCGGUUUAAGCGUGUAGGUGUGUGUUCCAGGUAAAUCCGGAACAUCAAGGCUGAGGCGUGACGACGAGGCACUACGGUGCUGAAGCAACAAAUGCCCUGCUUCCAGGAAAAGCCUCUAAGCAUCAGGUAACAUCAAAUCGUACCCCAAACCGACACAGGUGGUCAGGUAGAGAAUACCAAGGCGCUUGA